rnacentral:rRNA from 1 species
AUAUUAAUAAGCGGAGGAAAAGAAACUAACAAGGAUUCCCUCAGUAACGGCGAGUGAACAGGGAAGAGCUCAAGCUGAAAAUCGGGGGCCCAUCGGGUCUUUGAAUUGUAGUCUAGAGAAGCAACGUCCGCGGUGGCCCAGGUCUAAGUCCCUUGGAACAGGGUGUCACAGAGGGUGAGAAUCCCGUAUGUGGCUUGGAGAUCCGCCGCGUGUGAUGUGCUUUCUUCGAGUCGGGCUGUUUGGGAUUGCAGCCCUAAAUGGGUGGUAAAUUUCAUCUAAAGCUAAAUACAGGCGAGAGACCGAUAGCGCACAAGUA